rnacentral:lncRNA from 1 species
AUGCCCCAGAUGCGUUUGAAUCGGGGUGUGUCGGGCGAGGACAGGAAGGAUGGUGUGGAGUGUGGCCCCAGAGUGACGCUGUGUCCGUGGAGCUCUGCCCUCCUGAUGCGCGGGACUGAGCCCUCCCGCCGCUCUGAGCCCACGGGGCUCACAGGACCAGCCGGCUGUCGCCUCCCUCGGGGUCCGCGCAGGCUCCAAACCGCCCGGGUUUCAGGUGUGAGGAGCCCUGAGACGGAGCCUGGUCCACGACCCCUCUGCCCUCCUUCUGCACGGUUGUCGACCCGUCCUCACCACAGGCUGAACGGGCCUCCUCUCCUCCUGACCCCUGCAGGCCCUGAGCUCUGGGGCGCCCCGAGGACCGGCUGGGGGGCCCCUCCCCGGGGCGUGGCCAGUGGUGAGGGGGCCGUGGCUGGGAGCGGCAGGAUGUUUGUGGCCUCAGGCCCCGGCAUGGUGUCUGUGAUGGAGCCGGCUCAGAGCAGCAGGACUAAGUGAGUCACGAGGAACACUCUAAAGGCUCCUAGAGAUUUGGGGGACCAGGUGUCCGAUGGGGAGCGGGUCCUGAUGUCACACAGGUGGGCUAGGGAGCCGGCAGAACGAAACCAGAUAGACCUGGGCACAAAGGGGAAAGUCAUGGCAACCUUGGGAUGGGGCAGCUUCAGGCACAGCUUGAUCCAGUAGCUCAAGCCCUGGCAGCAGGGCCUGACCUCUCAGGAUUCCUGUGCCCACGUCCCCCCACCCCAGGCCAGCAUCUCCUCCGUGUGACCUCCACUGAAACGUGUUCUGUCCUCUCAGCAGAUCCAGCCGCCUGCCACCCCCGAAUUCAUCCCCCUGGCCAUGGGAUGGAAUGUUCCGGGGGGAAAGGGCCGGAGUGACAUGCCCUCACCUGGGGCUGGGGGCAGAGUCGGCCCCGCCAGACCACAGGGCCAGGGUAGGGGCGAGGGCCCCCAGGUAAACCAGCUGCUGUUCCCUGAAGAGGAAAGACCCGCCUCGCUUGGCUGCCCUCCAGGACCCCGUGGAGCCCUCACACCGGGUGUCCACAUUCCUCUUGGGGACACGGGGGCUGCCAUCCCCCAGGCCCAGGACGCCCGCAAGCUUUACUCCUCGGGAGCCCGCAGGUUCCAAAUGGACCUGAUUCCAGGAGAAGGGCGCAAGGACCUCUGCCCCGGGAGGAGGGCUGAGCUCACCUUCACGCACCCGCAAGGUCGCCGUCCCGCCACGUCCUGGGCUGCCCGUCCCUUCUGUCCAGGUCACCCUGGGCUGGCCUCUGAGUGACUGCUGAGCUCACCAGGAGCAGCAGGACAGGCACAGCCCAAGGACGCUUGCUAAUGAGCGAGACUGGCGGUGAUUAGGGGCUGACAGGCAAAUGCUGAGGCUCUCCAAGGUGGGGGAGGAAGUGGGUUAACUGUGUGGGAGCAAGUGGAAGCCU